rnacentral:tRNA from 1 species
GCGGUUGUAGCUCAGCGGGAAGAGCGCCACCUCGCCAUGGUGGAGGUCGCCGGUUCGAGGCCGGCCAGCCGCUCCA